AAUGUGAGUGUGGUUGCUUUUCAUUAUAGGUCAUAUGGGACUUUUUGUAUAUACUCAAAAAGGCUCCAUAAUCUCUACAGUGGAUUUACCCACUACAGAAAUUAUAGAGCC
rfam:Streptococcus agalactiae LMG 14747 ctg7180000010253, whole genome shotgun sequence.